ensembl:lncRNA uncharacterized LOC115163395
CUGACAGCUUCUCUUGCACUCACACACACACACACACACACACACACACACACACACACACACACACACACACACACACACACACACACACACACACACACACACACACACACACACACACACACACACAUUUAAAUACCCUCAUAGGAAGACUUGCUGUAGUCAAAUUGAGUCAUCACUCUCAAUGAUACCACCAUGGGAUGCUCAGGGCUGUUGAUUUUGGGCUUUGUGCUAUGUGUGUCUCACUGCUUGGACAUGCUGGAUAUGGAGGAGGACAUGGAGAUUGACCGUAACGUCACUGGGAUCCUUGGAGAGGAUGUCUUCCUCCGCUGUCAGUACCUGGGACAGAAUGACAUCACAGACGCCUCAUGGAAACGCCCAGACUCUAGAAUGAAACGAUUGAUGAAGAAAUUAACAGGCUACAAGAACAACAAGGCUUUCAGCAAAGACCCAGACUUCUCCGCCCCAGCCUCUCCCACCAAUCUGACUGUGAAGAUGAGGGUGUCUACUCUGGAGGCCCAGGGGGAGUACACAUGUGUGUUCGCCACCGAUGAAGAGGAGAUCACUAACAGCAUGUUUCUCACUGUCCUGGCUCGACCUGAUAUCUACACAGUGGUGACAGAGGACACAGACAACGCUACCCACUACCAGUCAGUCACAUGCUCAGCUACCAAUGGUAAACCUAUGGCUCUGAUUCGCUGGGAGAUCAACGGCAGCCCUCCUACUAACGAUUCCUCUGUGGGGAUGAGGAACACCAGUUAUACCAAUGGCACUGCCACUAUGACCAGCUUCCUUCGCUUCCCCACCCACCUACAGGAUCAGGACAGGGUGACCUGUGUGGUCCAGCACCCAACCCUGCCUGACCUCACCACAUAUGUCGCAGUGAGGGUGGAGACCUUCGUGGCUCCCAAUGUGACCAUUGAGACAUACCUGGUUCUAGAGGACGGGGAGGAGUUCUGGGUGGUCACCUGUGGUGCAGCCGGAGGGCGACCCCGAGCUGACAUCACCCUGGUGCUGCCCAAUCAGGAGGUCAGUUCCAUGCUAAAGAAGGAGGUUGUCAUGGAUGCAGCAGACACAUGGGUCAGGUCAUACCGCUUCCCAGCUGAGCUUCAUGAAGGGGAAAACAUCUCCUGCCUGUUUGACCACCCCAAGUUCCCACACAGAGAGCUUCGGACCGUCACUUUGCCGGCAUUCUCCCUGUCUGCUGUUCGGCUGCAGAACCCAGGGUUGGCAGACAGCAGCAACGAGAGCCAGGCUGUAGAGUCAGUGGUUCUGGAGGAAGGACAGAGCAACACCACCAUCGAGCUAGAGGUUGUUGGGGAUGUACCACGUUACAGUAUCGUAUGCACCAAAGAAGAGCAGUCUCUCCCUGAGGGUGUGGCAGUAUUUGGCAGUGCUCUAACCUUGCAGGGUCCUGUCGAGCUCUACCAUGCAGGGCUGUAUGAGUGUGAGGCCUCCUACUACAGCCACAGGGCAUCUGUACUGCUGGACAUUACCGUUAACCCACAUGUCAAGCAGCCUGUGACUGUUCCUCCCAGCAUAAGGAUUGAUGUCCAGAACAGACUGAGUGACAGAUUCAUUGAGUGCCUGGCUGCAGACUCCGUCCCUGUUGCCAAUGUGUCCUGGGUUCUACCUGAGGGUGUGUCUGGGCCCUCCUGGUCCAGUCUCACAUCCCAUAAUGGAACCUACUCUGUCAGCAGUGUGCUAGUCCUGCCUGCCUGCUCAGCCCAGGAGCUCAAUAUGGAGUGUGUGAUAGAUCAUACUGGGUUUGUGUUGCCAGAGAGAAGACAGAUAACACUCCCUGUGUGUGCUCCUCCUAACAUCACCAUCCAGUCCAGCUCGGAGUGGGAGGAAGAUGUAGCAUACACACUGGUGCAGUGCACUGUGGACAAUGUUGGACCUGCUGCCACCAUCUCCUGGAGUCUUGGCGACCAGGACAGUGACAAUAGUACCAGUCAGCUCAUGGAGGUGCAGGAGCAGGUUCACGGGCAGCCUGAGCUCCAUGCCAAUGGCUUUGUGACGGUCCGUAGUGUGUUGAGGUUCCCCACUUCCAUGUUCUCUGGUCAGAAUGUCACCUGUGUGGUGGAUCACCUGGGUCUUGAGAGAACAGGGAUACUGCUACGUGGACUGGAGUCCCCUGUGAUGCGCGUUUUUGUUCGGAGGCAGAGGGGAUCUCCUCUGUGGCUGGCUGUAUGUGAGUACAGAGGGGACAGGCUUGGAGCACACCUCUCUUGGGUUCUACCUGACAAUGCCACAGGCCACAUCUCCUUCUGCUCUGUGUAUGAAGGAGUGAGAGUGCUAACCAACCUCACCUAUGAGUUCUCACUGGCCCUGCAUGAGGGACAGGACCUGAUCUGCCUCAUUCAAAAUCACCAUGGACUAAAGGAGAGGAGGACCGUCCAUGUCCCCAAAUACUAUAUCUCAUCUGUCAGAGUACUGAAUCAAACCACUCCCCUGUACAAACCUUAUGGAGACGAGUUCGUUAUACAUCGAAUGUCCCUAAAGGAGAAUUUCCACAACCAGAGGAUCCUGCUCAAAGUCUAUGGCAGUGUGCCAACUUACAGCCUUACCUGUCAGAGAAAUGACGGCACAUUGGUCCAGAUGGAUGGUCGGGCUCUGUUGUUCCAAUCAGAGGUCACGGAGCGGGAGGCGGGCCUCUACACCUGCCAAGCCUCUUUCUACCACCAUCAGGCCUCGGUCCUCAUUCAAGUGGAGGUGACCAGUGAAGAUAAACAGCUCAUGAUUGUCUUCAUCGUCUGCUUCUCCUCGGCUGCAGCCAUCACGAUCCUCCUCAUCGUCACUCUGUGUGUUUUCUGCAAAAUAAAUGGAGGAGACCGCCUAGCAUCUAAGAAGCGGGAGUCGCUGGCACCCUUGACCUCUCUGACCCAGGAACUGUGCUCUCCAGAGCUGAGGAAGGGAAAGACAGCAGUGACAGUACCAGGAGGAGGCCAGGAGUACAACCAGCUGCUCAGCUACUCUAUUGUCAUUGAUGCCAGAUCCACUGUGUAAAUGACAGGGUGUGUCCCUACUGGCACACUAUUACCUAUAUAGAGCACUACUUGUGCACGGUAUAUGGAAUAGGGUGCCAUUUGAGACGGAAUGAUUUUAUUUCCCAGUUAAAAAAACACAUACUCACAGUACAUGCAUUUAAAGAAUUUGACCGGUCAUCAGAGACUUUUGGUCCCUAAAUUCCAUGGUGCAAAAACAUUACAACAUUACAUAGAUACAUUACAUUACAUUACAUAGACUCAUGACAUAGAUCAACUUUUUUUCUUCAAUUUCUCGAUCAUUAGCCAGAUUUUGACUUUAGACACAACCACAGGCUUCUACUAUAUGUUAGAGUCCACUCUACUGUAUCCUGUGCAUCACUCUUACGUGUUGCAUGAUGCAGCUUCUCCUAAUGCCAAGUCAUUAAAAUGCAUUAUUUUGUGAAUUUUUCAUGAUUUUUAGUUUUGUUUAUUGGUGUAUUUCAUGCAUUGGUGGUUUAAAUAAUUGUAAUGUGUUGUAAAGAAAUGUAUUGUAAAACUGCUAGAAAUGAUGUUGAGCAUAGCUUCUAUUUGUUUUACUGUUUUGUAUUAUGCUAAACUUUGAAAGGUUAUUCAUUUUGGUUAUCUAAUGUUGUAAAAUCUGGAGCAUUAUCAAUAAAAUUACUGUAAAUGUGUAU